rnacentral:rRNA from 1 species
GAUGAACGCUAGCGACAGGCCUAACACAUGCAAGUCGAGGGGCAGCACGGUGUAGCAAUACACGGGUGGCGACCGGCGCACGGGUGAGUAACGCGUAUGCAACCUGCCUACUACAAGGGGAUAACCCGUUGAAAGACGGACUAAUACCCUAUAACACAGGGAAUCCGCAUGGAUAUAUUUGUUAAAGAUUUAUCGGUAGUAGAUGGGCAUGCGUUCCAUUAGCUUGUUGGUGAGGUAACGGCUCACCAAGGCAACGAUGGAUAGGGGAACUGAGAGGUUGAUCCCCCACACUGGAACUGAGACACGGUCCAGACUCCUACGGGAGGCAGCAGUGAGGAAUAUUGGUCAAUGGACGAGAGUCUGAACCAGCCAAGUCGCGUGAAGGAAGACGGCCCUACGGGUUGUAAACUUCUUUUGUAAGGGAAUAAAUAGUCUUACGCGCUAAGACGUUGCAGGUACCUUACGAAUAAGGAUCGGCUAACUCCGUGCCAGCAGCCGACGGUAAAGUC